GGGGAAUAUUGCACAAUGGGCGAAAGCCUGAUGCAGCAACGCCGCGUGAGCGAUGAAGGCCUUCGGGUCGUAAAGCUCUGUCCUCAAGGAAGAUAAUGACGGUACUUGAGGAGGAAGCCCCGGCUAACUACGUGCCAGCAGCCGCGGUAAUACGUAGGGGGCGAGCGUUGUCCGGAUUUAUUGGGCGUAAAGGGUUCGCAGGCGGCCAAAUAAGUCAGAUGUGAAAGCCCACGGCUUAACCGUGGUAAGCAUUUGAAACUGUAUGGCUUGAGUUAAGGAGAGGAAAGUGGAAUUCCUAGUGUAGCGGUGAAAUGCGUAGAUAUUAGGAAGAAUACCAGUGGCGAAGGCGACUUUCUGGACUUAUACUGACGCUGAGGAACGAAAGCGUGGGGAGCAAAC
rnacentral:rRNA from 1 species